AGUAUUUGAUUACUCCUUUCCUACAAAAAAGCAUUUCAAACCCAAAGGGAAUAUGGCUCAUUUAUUUGCUGAGUGGGACUGGAGGCCCAUAGCCGCAGAAGAUCCUGGCCCCACAGCAGCAGAGAGCAAGCUCAGAGUGCUGUCAGGUCUCUCCUGCUGCCUCUCGCCAUGAUGAUGUAGUGGAAAAAUGGUCAACAAAGCUAUUUCCUACUGUGUGCUAAAUGCCCAUCAUGGGAAGUCCCAGAUUCCAGGAACAAGAAGAUCAUGGGUGAGGCAGCUGCUCAGAAACAAAUGUCUUUCAACAAUUACCCCCAGGCAUGGGUGAUACAUCCUCUUCGCAGACAGCAGAAAAACAGCAGAUUUGUGAUUUAAUUGGGAGUUUUCUGGGAUCGAACAGUGGCUUCGUUUACAGACGUGACAGCUUGAGCCAGAGGGUGCCAGCCAGCGCCAUGAUGUGACCAAGGCCAUCAACAGCAGAGCCGCAAGGGAGCAGGAGCCUUGGUCCCUGAGGACAUGCUGGAGCUAACUUGGGAAUCCUGAGGUGGCCACCUCCAAAAUUUUACAUGAAAGAGAAAAGUAAACAUCUAACUUGCUUAAGCUGCUAUUGUUUUGGGGUUUGUCAUUUACAGCCAAACCUAAUCCUCAUUAAAAUAGUGGUGGAACUGGAAUUUGAACCAGUUUACUCCCAAGACCAAA